AUGAACCUUUGAGGGUUGAGCUGGCGUUUAUUCGCAUGUGCUUGCCCUCUCAUCCUUUAUACACCUGUGCACUUUUGAAGGGAGACAUUAGUAGACAUUCACUUGUCGAAGGUAUCUCCCUUUACACUACAUACUCUAAUGAUUACUUUGAAUGUUUAAACGCUUAACAGCAUUUAAUUACAACUUUUAACAACGGAUCUCUUGGCUCUCGCAUCGAUGAAGAACGCAGCGAAAUGCGAUAAGUAAUGUGAAUUGCAGAAUUCAGUGAAUCAUCGAAUCUUGAACGCACCUUGCGCUCCCUGGUAUUCCGGGGAGCACGCCUGUUCGAGCGUCAUGAAGCUCUCAAACUCAUUAGCUUUUUUGUUAAUGAGUUUGGAUUUGGACUCUGCUGUGUAACAAACAGCUGGUCCGAAAAUUAUUAGCGGAUCCUAGUGCAGCUUGGUUCUACUCGACGUGAUAAUUAUCUAUCGUUGAGGACAUCCUCUUUUAUUAGAAGAUGGCCAAACUAAUCAAAGGAUUGCUUCUAGUCGUCUUCAUUGACAAUUUAUCUAUCAUCUGACCUCGAAUCAGGCGGGACUACCCGCUGAACUUAAGCAUAUCAAUAAGCGGAGGAUCGCCAACUUGGUCAUUUAGAGGAAGUAAAAGUCGUAACAAGGUUUCCGUAGGUGAACCUGCGGAAGGAUCACUAGUGAUUAAAUCGAGCGUGUCUUCAUUGACCGCUCACCCUUCUCACCAUCCACAUACACCUGUGCACUGUUUAGCCUGAGCCGGUUUUCCGGUCCAGGUUAUCAUUUCAUACAAACUCUAGUCUUAUGAAUGUAAACGUUUUAAUAACAUAAUA
rnacentral:misc_RNA from 1 species